GACGAACGCUGGCGGCGUGCUUAACACAUGCAAGUCGAACGGAAAGGCCAUGCUUUUGUGGGGUGCUCGAGUGGCGAACGGGUGAGUACCACGUGAGUAACCUGCCCUUGACUUUGGGAUAACUUCAGGAAACUGGGGCUAAUACCGGAUAGGUGCUCCUGCUGCAUGGUGGGGGUUGGAAAGUUUCGGCGGUUGGGGAUGGACUUGCGGCUUAUCAGCUUGUUGGUUGGGUAGUGGCUUACCAAGGGUUUGACAGUUAGCCGGCCUGCGAGGGUGACCGGCCACAUUGGGACUGAGAUACGGCCCAGACUCCUACGGGAGGCAGCAGGGGGGAAUAUUGCACAAUGGGCGGAAGCCUGAUGCAGCAACGCCGCGUGCGGGAUGACGGCCUUCGGGUUGUAAACCGCUUUCGCCUGUGACGAAGCGUGAGUGACGGAAAUGGGUAAAGAAGCACCGGCUAACUACGUC
rnacentral:rRNA from 1 species